UACGACUACAUAUCAGGCAUAUCAAUAAGCGGAGGAAAAGAAACUAACAAGGAUUCCCUUAGUAACGGCGAGUGAAGCGGGAAGAGCUCAAAUUUGAAAUCUUCAAGGUUUUACCUUGACGAAUUGUAGUUUAAAGAAGUGUUUUCUGUUGAAGUUUUGGUAAAAGUUCUUUGGAAUAGGACAUCAUAGAGGGUGAGAAUCCCGUAUUUGACCAUUAUUUUCAGCUGUGUGAUACACUUUCAAAGAGUCGGAUUGUUUGGGAAUGCAGUCCAAAAUGGGUGGUAAAUUUCAUCUAAAGCUAAAUAUUGGCGAGAGACCGAUAGCGAACAAGUACCGUGAGGGAAAGAUGAAAAGAACUUUGAAAAGAGAGUUAAACAGUACGUGAAAUUGUCAAAAGGGAAGCGUUUGACACCAGUGUUGUUUUCUCGAAAAUCAAUUAAAAAAGGCAGGAUUUUGUGUUGUAUUGACUUUAUCAGCUUUCUGCACUCUUUUCUUGUCUUUUUUAAUGCACUUUUCGUUUAACAAGUCAACAUCAAUUUCUUCUGUUGUAAAAGGGUCAUUGGAAGGUGGCUUUCUUUUCGGAGAAAGUGUUUAUAGCCUUUGGCCUCUGCAAUCGGAGAGAUUGAGGUCUGCAGCGUAGAUCCUUCGGGGUUAGAUACAUUUGUGCUAAGUUAUAGCCUUUCAUAGACAACUUGUUGACUAUGAUCAGUCAUGUAGCUUACUCGCUUAUGCUAUUUUACCUACGCUUAGGAUGUUGAGCGCAUGUCUCUCUCU
rnacentral:rRNA from 1 species